rnacentral:rRNA from 1 species
CAGCCGCCGCGGGAAUACAUAGGGUGCGAGCGUUAAUCGGAAUUACUGGGCGUAAAGGGAGCGCAGGCGGUUUAGUAAGUCUGGAGUUAAAGGCAUUGGCUCAACCAAUGUAUGCUUUGGAAACUGUUUGACUUGAGUGCAGAAGGGGAGAGUGGAAUUCCAUGUGUAGCGGAGAAAUGCGUAGAGAUGUGGAGGAACACCAGUGGCGAAGGCGACUCUCUGGUCUGUAACUGACGCUGAGGAGCGAAAGCGUGGGGAGCGAACAGGAUUAGAUACCCCCGUAGUCCCUGUCUCUUAUACC